rnacentral:piRNA from 1 species
UAUCCUGGAACUCUCUGUAGACC